GACUCUUUAUUUCAGAAGACUCACUAAAGGACAAAUUUCCAUUACAUUUGGUGUCAGAAGUGGGAUGGUUUGGCAAAGUUUGUCUGGGACCUGAGACGGCCGGCGACUGAUCAGCCUGGAGUAAAGUGUCUCAGCCUCCACCUCGCUGACUUAAGAGACGGGAGGGUCGACCGUCCGCGCCCCGGACCGUUGCCACUACCAUCUCAAAAAAGAGUUGGACCUACGUUGUCCUUAAAAACGGUGAGUGUCUGAAAUAAACUAUUAAAUUGCAUUUGUUUUGUCUUUGUUUUUUCUUAGACUUUCAGCUUAAGAUUGCUAUUUUGAUUGUACCAUCUCACACGUGGAUCCUUAGUUAACAGGGCCGAGCAGAAUUACAAGCAAGUUUUUCUCCUCUGUUAACUGGUUGAGCAGGGCUGUGCAGAAAUACAUUUUUCUCCGCUGUUUUAAUUCCUUUUGGGGUUUAAACAGGGCUGUGCAGAAAAAAAAAAAGGAACAAAAAGAGGAGCAAUAAAAAAUAUAUAAAAUAAAUAAUAAUAAUAAUAAUAAAGUUAAAAAAUAUUUGAAAUAAAAACAGGAAAACAAGGGUUUCUCCGCUGUUCGAGCAAUUUUGGAGUCUUAACAGGGCUGUGAAGAGGACCGUUUUUUUCCGCUGUCGACCGCUUUUGCCAGAGUUUGUAGCCGUAAACAAUCUGGAUUUACAGUGACGACUGUAUCUAAGGAAAGGGUUAGAGUCCCUAAAAGACUUGUACAAGCAAAGAAGGAUAGUGUGGGAGAUGGGAAGUCAAACGAGCAAAAUAAGCAAAGGUGAGAGACCUGAUUAUUCUUCAUCUAUCAUACAAUGCAUGCAAGAGAAAUAUGGUGAAGAAUGACAAAAACAUAGAAUUAUUGGUGAAUUAAUUCUGUUUCCUAUUCAGUUUGAGGCAAUUACAUCAGGUAGAAAAGUGAUUUUUGUUAAGGGUAAAAAGACAAAGAAGAUUUUAAACGUAAGCAUUUGAAAGCGUCAUGCAUGUGGAAGAUAGGAUCAGAAAGUAAGAGAAGGCAAAGGAAGUAUGCCAAAUAAAUGCCUCACAAUGAGGGUGAAGGAAAGUGUGAAACAUAGAGAGACAUACAUUAGAGAUGAGGUUAUGUGUUGGAGUAAAAACUGGUAAACUGAGGGCUGAUCCAGUCCUGGACUCCGCUCCUCCUCCUCCGAUACGCUCCAGUCCCAGAUCCAUCCAAGGAUGAAGACUACGCUGAUGUUAAAACUGCUGCUGAAACACGACACCAUAAGCCAGAGAGAGAUGAUGAACUAAUGCAACAUUAAAGAGCUACAGAAGCACUGUUCUGCUCCGGUAACAGUAAUGCAACACAUCGUAUUGCCCAGUCAUGGAAAUGCCAAUUAUAAAAGGAAUAUUUGGUAUUUGGAACAUUGUUGAGGCGACGGGUCACGUGACAGCCUCACAUGCAAUUGGAGCAGUUUGGAGCGUUUAUCAAAGGAUGCCAUAAUGACUUAAAGACAGCUGAGUAGCAAACCAGCUCAAACAACAACUCCACUUUGGAGACCUGCAAGAUUUCUACAAUCUCAACAAAAUACUUCACUCUAGUUUCACAAGAAAGUAGGCUGGAGCACAGAAUGGACUCAGUACAGCGAUGUCAUCAUUGGAGAAUUGCAGGCCAAUCACAACAUGUUUGCAUUCAAGAACAGAUCAUGUAGAGCUCUCCAAGUUCACACGAUCAUCACCUUAUGGUCACAGCGGUCUGAAAUAAAGUUCAUCGGAAAAGAACAUGUUCUGAGCGGGACAAGGCCAGAAACUGCUGUUGGAACAAAGAUGCCGAAUUUCACAGCGUCUUAGUGACAGACGAGAGAACCUGCAAGCUGAAGAUUCACACAAAGAGGACAAAAGUGAGAAAACAGCCAUCAAAAACUCUGUUCUGAGCCGUCACAGUACGAGAAAACGGACAGUACAGUGGACAAAGGUGGACAUUGGUACACAGAGAUUGUCUGGACAGAUCCAAAACAGAUCCAAAUGGACUGAGCUGGAGGGGGCGGGACGGACGCCAGUGACAGGAAACAGCUGGGACACACACACACAACGGCAGGUUAAAGAGGCCCUACCCUCUCCAGCGACAGAACCACUGCACAGUCUCCUAGAGUCUCCUUUUGUGGUGGUUAAGGACUUCAGAAGAAAGCACUGGAAAGCGCAGAGGUGGAAAGGUGCUCCUGACAACAUACACAGCGGUAAAAGUGGCUGAAAGAGCUACGUGGAUUCACGCCAGCCACUGCAGGAAGGAGCCUGCACCAGUACAACAAUAGAUCAACAAGCGUGAUGCACAAAAGCCACCACGACAGAACACCACAGUGAACUACAGGCAUUGACAUCAAAUAGCAGUGUUGGAGGCAAGAGAAGCACCCAAAGAGGCUGGGAUGCUGGGCUAAUGUUUAAUAACUCCUGCUGUAUGUUUGUGCCCAACAAUACAGCUCCAGAUGGUUCGGUGAACCCAGUGCUGGAAGGACUGCGUUCCCUACGAGAAGAACUUGCAGAGAACUCUGAAGUGGACACUAACAUGUUCGACCGGUCAGAUUCUGUGUUUGCUAAAUAAAAGGCCUUAGUGAUGCCCACACUAGCAGGUCUAAUGAUUGCUGUAGCUCUCUGUGGAUGUUGCAUCAUUCCAUGUGCCAGAGGUCUGAUUGUAGGAGCUAUUGAGAAAAGUGUCUCCAUUCAAAUGAUCACACUCGUCUGGAUUGGAAUCUUUUUCAUUCAUCUCACAUUUCAGAAGACUCACUAAAGGACAAAUUUCCAUUACACCAGUCAUGUAAGGAUUUCCAUAAACUUUAGUCACAAACAUAAAAAA